rnacentral:rRNA from 1 species
UACGUAGGUGGCAAGCGUUGUCCGGGUUUACUGGGUGUAAAGGGCGCGUAGGCGGGAUGUCAAGUCAGAUGUGAAAUCUCCGGGCUCAGCCCGGAAACUGCACUUGAAACUGACGUUCUUGAGUAUCGGAGAGGCAAGCGGAAUUCCUAGUGUAGCGGUGAAAUGCGUAGAUAUUAGGAGGAACACCAGUGGCGAAGGCGGCUUGCUGGACGACAACUGACGCUGAGGCGCGAAAGCGUGGGGAGCAAAC